rnacentral:rRNA from 1 species
AGUGGAUGGGGAGCAACCUAGUUGUGAGUGUGGAAAGGUAGUGCCAAGAAAAGCUGUCAGAAUGAUGAGAAUUGAGUCCCGGUACCCGAAACCGACACAGGCAGGCAAGUAGAGAAUACUAAGGGGCGCGAGGUAACUCUCUCCAAGGAACUCGGCAAAAUGACCCCGUAACUUAGGGAGAAGGGGUGCCACCGAGAGGUGGUCGCAGUGAAGAGGCCCAGGCGACUGUUUAGCAAAAACAUAGGUCUCUGCAAACUCGAAAGAGGAAGUAUAGGGGCUGACGCCUGCCCAGUGCCGGAAGGUUAAAGAAGUUGGUCGGGAGAAAUCUGAAGCUGGCGACUGAAGCCCCGGUGAACGGCGGCCGUAACUAUAACGGUCCUAAGGUAGCGAAAUUCCUUGUCGGGUAAGUUCCGACCCGCACGAAAGGCGUAACGAUCUGGGCGCUGUCUCGGAGAGAGGCUCGGCGAAAUAGGAUUGUCUGUGAAGAUACGGACUACCUGCAUUUGGACAGAAAGACCCUAUGAAGCUUUACUGUAGCUUGAAAUUGUGUUCGGGCUUCCUGUGCGCAGGAUAGGUGGGAGGCGAGGAAGGUCUGCUUGUGGGCAGAUUGGAGCCAACCGUGAGAUACCACUCUCAGGAGGCUAGAAUUCUAACUUAAUUAAGGACAGUUUCAGGUGGGCAGUUUGACUGGGGCGGUCGCCUCCAAAAAGGUAACGGAGGCGUACAAAGGUUCCCUCACACUGGUUGGAAAUCAGUGGCAGAGUGCAAAGGCAGAAGGGAGCUUGACUGCGAGACGGACAAGUCGAGCAGGGUGGAAACACGGUCUUAGUGAUCCGACGGUGCUGUGUGGAAGGGCCGUCGCUCAACGGAUAAAAGUUACUCUAGGAUAACAGGCUGAUCUCCCCCAAGAGUUCACAUCGACGGGGAGGUUUGGCACCUCGAUGUCGGCUCAUCGCAACCUGGGGCGGAAGUACGUCCCAAGGGUUGGGCUGUUCGCCCAUUAAAGCGGUACGUGAGCUGGGUUCAGAACGUCGUGAGACAGUUCGGUCCAUAUCCGAUGUAGGCGUGAGAAUAUUGAGAGGAGCCUUCCUUAGUACGAGAGGACCGGGAAGGACGCACCGCUGGUGUACCUGUUAUGAUGCCAAUCGUAAACGCAGGGUAGCCAAGUGCGGAGAGGAUAACCGCUGAAAGCAUCUAAGUGGGAAGCCCACCUCAAGAUGAGUAUUCUGGUGUAAGGUCACGGGGAGACGACCCGUAGAUAGGCACGAGGUGGAAGUGCAGAGAUGUAUGAAGCCGAAGUGUACUAAUAGACCGUCGGCUUGACC